UCUUGUCUUGUGACCACACUGUCUGGACCGCGGGGCCUUCUCGGUUGCUGCAGGAGGGGGUAAAGGGACUGGACAGUCAGGCAUUGGCGUUUUCCUGCCUCGGCCCAGAAAUGAAACAAGUCACUCCUGUACGUGUUUUGUUGGCCAGAACUAGUCCUAUGAUUCCACUUAACUUCAAUGAAACUGAAAAGUAUGACUUUCCACACGCCCAGAAGAGGAGGAAGGCCACAUACUGGUGAAUGCUGGCGAUGUCCCCCGCUCAUGGACUGCAAGCUCUUUGGGGCCAUGCUCACUCUUGCGAUUCUCUCACUAACCCUGGUAUCUGGCACACAGUGGACCCCAACUGUUGAAUUGAUCACUGAGUGAAUGAAUGAAUGAAUCAAUCAAUCAAUGAAACAGCAUUUGCAUGCUGAACUUUCCAACUGAACCUAUAGAGUGAUGGCAAAUAUCACACACAUGAAUGGGAAAAAAAUGGCCUCAGGCAUCCAGGUUUCACUGAACAUCUCAUGCAGUUUGACUUGGACUGAUUACAACUUUGGAGAACGCAGAGCCAAGGUGAAUGGAUCCUAGAGUUACCCAUGGCGUUGCCACAAGCCCGGAGUCCCUCUACGUUAGCUCCAGGUUACCGGGGAGACGGCCAGAGGUUCAAGUGGAUGGUGCACUCUCCAUGCAAAGGGCGGGACAGCUGACAUAAAACAAGGGCCCCGCACAGCUACCGAGGACUGGGCCCCCGUGUGCAAAUGCCGGGAAACGCAGCGUGAGAAUGAGAUGCCCCUCCCCCCACGCCUGCCGUGGCCACCAGCGCUGAUCUCAUUCCGCCUGCCGAUCGAGGGAGCCUUCGUUAAUCUCAUUAAAUGAAGCCCGUGCCCGCCCCCCCCCCCCCCCGCCACCUCCAUCAGGGAACGGUUUUAAUGGCCCAACAAAGGGUUCAGCCCCGUGCACCGUGGACUUGAGAUAAUGUCCCGUGUGGGGUUAACCGAACUCUCCUGCCGGCGGUGCUGAAGCCAUCUGCCCAUUUAUUGACAGCCUUGUCAGCAAAAAUCUGGAGUCUGAGGCUUGGCGGGCGGCCAGUCCGCCUUCCACUGUCUCUCCAGUGUCUCGGUAACAGAUGCUGUGCCUCAUGCCUGGGGCUGCUGUUGGCAAAUCACUGCUGCUUAUGUUAUUUAUCAGGGGGUGGAGGGAGGGCAGGAAGGGAUACGUGUUUUCCAGGAAGGACUUGGCGUUUCUUUCCAGGUUCUCUUUUUACAGAUGAAAAAAAAAAAAAAAAAUCAUUUGACACUGACUUUUGGAAAGGUGAAAUA